CCCACUAAACAUGAAGAAAAUCGGGUGGAUAAAGUAAUAUCUCUACCACGUGGAUGCUGUGAGAUCCCACAUCAGUAGGCUUUCUAAACCGCCAAGUACUGCUCACAUGUCCCUGGAGGACCUGCUGCCCCCCCCCCUGCCUCCUUUGGGGAGGAGCCAAGUAGAAAACACUGGGCUCAGUUUGGAGGCUGGAGGCACUUUGCCACCCACCAGAACUUUCUGUGUACUGCCAAUGUGACAGCUGACUCUCAGCAACUUUUUCUACAGGUAAUGAAGCCAAGAGUAAAUUGAGGCCUUUGUGUCUCAGUGCACUGCAUGUAAAAAGCUAA